UACGGAGGGUGCAAGCGUUAUCCGGAUUCACUGGGCUUAAAGGGUGCGUAGGCGGGCAGGUAAGUCAGAGGUGAAAUCUCCGGGCUUAACCCGGAAACUGCCUUUGAUACUAUCUGUCUUGAAUAUGGUGGAGGUAAGCGGAAUAUGUCAUGUAGCGGUGAAAUGCUUAGAGAUGACAUAGAACACCUAUUGCGAAGGCAGCUUACUGCGCCUAUAUUGACGCUGAGGCACGAAAGCGUGGGGAUCAAACAGG
rnacentral:rRNA from 1 species